rnacentral:rRNA from 1 species
UACGUAGGGGGCAAGCGUUAUCCGGAUCUACUGGGUGUAAAGGGAGCGUAGACGGCACUGCAAGUCUGGAGUGAAAGCCCGUGGCCCAACCACGGGACUGCUCUGGAAACUGUGUUGCUGGAGUGCAGGAGGGGUAAGCGGAAUUCCUAGUGUAGCGGUGAAAUGCGUAGAUAUUAGGAGGAACACCGGUGGCGAAGGCGGCUUACUGGACUGUAACUGACGUUGAGGCUCGAAGGCGUGGGGAGCAAACAGG